GCAGGCCUAACACAUGCAAGUCGAGCGCGAAAACACUUCGGUGUGAGUAGAGCGGCGGACGGGUGAGUAAUGCUUGGGAAUCUGCCCAGUAGUGGGGGAUAACGUGUGGAAACGCACGCUAAUACCGCAUACGUCCUACGGGAGAAAGCAGGGGAUCUUCGGACCUUGCGCUAUUGGAUGAGCCCAAGUCGGAUUAGCUAGUUGGUGGGGUAAUGGCCUACCAAGGCGACGAUCCGUAGCUGGUCUGAGAGGAUGAUCAGCCACACUGGGACUGAGACACGGCCCAGACUCCUACGGGAGGCAGCAGUGGGGAAUAUUGCACAAUGGGCGAAAGCCUGAUGCAGCCAUGCCGCGUGUGUGAAGAAGGCUCUAGGGUUGUAAAGCACUUUCAGUAGGGAGGAAAAGCUUAAGGUUAAUAACCUUGAGCCCUGACGUUACCUACAGAAGAAGCACCGGCAAACUCCGUGCCAGCAGCCGCGGUAAUACGGAGGGUGCGAGCGUUAAUCGGAAUUACUGGGCGUAAAGCGCGCGUAGGUGGUUUGAUAAGCUAGCUGUGAAAGCCCCGGGCUCAACCUGGGAACUGCAGUUAGAACUGUCUGACUAGAGUACAGUAGAGGGUGGCGGAAUUUCCUGUGUAGCGGUGAAAUGCGUAGAUAUAGGAAGGAACAUCAGUGGCGAAGGCGGCCACCUGGACUGAUACUGA
rnacentral:rRNA from 3 species